rnacentral:sRNA from 2 species
GAUAAAAGUACGCUUAAUUUUCGAUGGGUAAAGUCGAAAAGCGGGGGAACCAAUCUUUUGGGGCGAAUCGUUGUAGGAUUAACGUAGGGAACCAUCUUUCCCGAGCCCGUCAGCUAACCUCGUUUGCAGUGGAUGGGUCAUUU